CUUUUCUGCCCCAGAAGCUGUAUGUUCCAGAGGGUGCACAUGGAAGAGUCUCACUGACCACUAACAACUCAGCAGAGCAGAGUCUCUUCUGAUGGAUACAAAGGAGAAAGAAGACUUGAAAAGAAGACAGAAUCUGUCACAUGAAGCAGAGACUGAGGGAUAUCAGUUCCCAGACUGGGAUCGAAUCCAGACACAGCAGUGAAAGGAUUGAAUCCUAACCACUAAACCAUCAGCAAAUUCCUUGUUGCUUCCUUUCUUAUCAUUUCUAUCUCUGUAAAACAAUCAACUUCCUUUGUGGAGCAGCUCAGCCUGUGCACAACAACUACUGAGCCCGUGCUCUAGGACCUGCACACCGCAAACAGAAGCCUGCAUGUUGCAUCUACUGAAGCCUGAGCGCCUAAAGCCUGUGCUCUGCAACAAGAGAAGCCCCCACAUAGAGAAGCUGCUGCCCACAAAGAAGAGUAGUGCCUGCUUGCCACAACUAGAGAAAGCCCAUGUGCAGCAACAAAGAC